AGUAAUUAACUUUGGUGGACCCUGUGGCCUUCAACACCAUCGAAGGGUUGCAGGCAUACUCUCGGUUGGU
rnacentral:tRNA from 15 species